UACGAAGGUCCCGAGCGUUGUUCGGAUUCACUGGGCGUAAAGGGUGCGUAGGUGGUGAGGUAAGUCGGAUGUGAAAGCUCCGAGCUCAACUCGGAAAUGGCAUUGGAAACUACCUUGCUGGAGGUUUGGAGGGGGGACUGGAAUACUUGGUGUAGCAGUGAAAUGCGUAGAUAUCAAGUAGAACACCAGUGGCGAAGGCGAGUCCCUGGACAACACCUGACACUGAGGCACGAAAGCUAGGGGAGCAAACAGG
rnacentral:rRNA from 1 species